UACAGAGGGUGCAAGCGUUAAUCGGAAUUACUGGGCGUAAAGCGUGCGUAGGCGGUUAUGUAAGUCGGGUGUGAAAUCCCCGGGCUCAACCUGGGAAUUGCAUUCGAUACUGGAUAGCUAGAGUUCGGCAGAGGGAAGCGGAAUUUCCGGUGUAGCGGUGAAAUGCGUAGAUAUCGGGAGGAACAUCAGUGGCGAAGGCGGCUUCCUGGACCAGAACUGACGAUCAGGCACGAAAGCGUGGGGAGCAAACAGG
rnacentral:rRNA from 1 species